UACGUAGGGGGCAAGCGUUGUCCGGAAUCAUUGGGCGUAAAGCGCGUGUCGGCGGUCCGGUAAGUCCGCUGUGAAAGUCGGGGGCUCAACCCUCGGAUGCCGGUGGAUACUGUCGGGCUCGAGUCCGGAAGAGGAGUGUGGAAUUCCUGGUGUAGCGGUGAAAUGCGCAGAUAUCAGGAGGAACACCCGUGGCGAAGGCGGCUCUCUGGGACGGUACUGACGCUGAGACGCGAAAGCGUGGGGAGCGAACAGG
rnacentral:rRNA from 1 species